rnacentral:rRNA from 1 species
UUCCAGCUCCAAUAGCGUAUAUUAAAGUUGUUGCGGUUAAAAAGCUCGUAGUUGAAUUUGUGUCCCGCACUGUCGGUUCACCGCCCGCGGUGCUAACUGGCAUGUUUGCGGGACGUCCUGCCGGUGGGUGUUCAGUAGUGAUUGACUUUCGGGUCUUUUACUAUUUCAUCCGACUUUAUAAUCCUGUCGCGGUGCUCUUAAUUGAGUGUCGAGGCGGGCCGGCACGUUUACUUUGAACAAAUUAGAGUGCUCAAAGCAGGCUAAUUAAUGCCUGAAUAAUUAGUGCAUGGAAUAAUGGAACAGGACCUUGGUUCUAUUUUGUUGGUUUUCGGAAUUCCAAGGUAAUGAUUAAUAGGGACAGAUGG